rnacentral:lncRNA from 1 species
CCACUACUCCUGUUUCAAUAUUCGUUCUGGAAUCUCGCAAACUUUUUUGUUUAUUUCUUCUCAAACUUACAUACAUUAACCUUUCUUAUACUAUCAUGGCUUCCAGGGUGGUUUUUGUUUUGGUGAUGGCGGUGAUGUUGCUUGCCAUCAACUGUAACUGCACCAGUGUUGGUCACAUGCCUUCAACCAAAGAGGAAGGUCGUGAUUUUGAGGAGGCUAAAGCCAAGACCACACAAACAGCCAACAAGGCCAUGGACACUGGUAAAGAGGGGAAAGAAGCUGCAGAGUCAUGGACAGAAUGGGCUAAAGAGAAAAUCACCGAGGGACUUGGCUUCAAACAUGAUCAAGAAACCAAGGAAUCCACCACCCACAAAAUCUCUGACUAUGCUACCGACACUGCACAGAGAUCAAAGGACUGUGCAGCUGACACUGCAAAGAAGACCAAGGACUGUGUUGGUAAUGCUGCUCAGAAGACCAAGGAUUCUGCCGCCGAUGCUGCCCAGAAGACUAAAGAUUAUGCUGCUCAGAAGACCAGCGAUGCCAGUGGUGCUGCCAAAAAGACGAAAGAUUAUGCUGCUGAAAAAACCAAGGAAUAUGCCAGUGAUGCUGGUGAUGCUGCAAAGAAAACCAAAGACUAUGCUGCUGAAAAAACCAAGNGCUGGUGAUGCUGCAAAGAAAACCAAAGACUAUGCUGCUGAAAAAACCAAGGAAUAUGCCAGUGACGCUGGUGAUGCUGCAAAGAAAACCAAAGAUUAUGCUGCUGAAAAAACCAAGGAGUAUGCCAGUGACGCUGGUGACGCUGCAAAGAAAACCAAAGAUUACGGUGCUCAAAAGGUCAGCGAUGGAGCACAUAAGACCAAGGACUAUGUCAGUGGUACUGCUCAAAAUGUUGGGCAGAAUGUCAAAGACUAUGCUGGUGAUGCUGCUCACAGGAGCAGAGAAGCUUCUGAUUAUGUCAGUGACACGGCUGAGAAGACCAAAUACUACGUUGAUGAUGCUGCUCAGAGAAGCAAAGAGGCAUCUGAAUACGCCAAUGAUGCGGCUCACAGGACCAAAGACUAUUCCAAUGAUGCUACCAGAAAAAGCAAAGAUGCUUCUGAUUAUGCCAGUGAUGUUGCUCAGAGAACCAAAGAGAAGCUCCAUGACUUUGCUUCUGGUUGGUACACUAACUUCAAAAACAUUUCUGCUCUGCAACCGGUAUACCGCAUAUGAAAACCAUUUUCACACCUGUUUUCUUUGUUUUUUAAACAAGUUAAUAGCUUUCAAAUGAAUGUUAGUGUUUUCUUUUCUUUUCUUUUUUUCACACAGCUGAACAUUUGCAGCAUGUUAUUAACUGAAAAGCAUAAAGAGUUUUAAGAAUAAUUAAGAAAACAGUUAUGGAAAAAGUGGUUUAAUUUGAUGUUGUUGUUGAUGAUGAACAGAGGCUGGUCAAUACAGUGCUGAGAAAGCGAGAGAAAUGAAGGAUGCAGCAGCACAGAAGGCUAGUGACAUAGCAAAAGCUGCCAAGAAAAAAUCACAAGAAGUGAAAGAGAAU